UCCAUUUCUCAAAUUUAUUGAAUCCCAAAUCUUUCAAUUCAAAGCUUCAAAAUCUUUCUCUUUAGGGUUUCUUAUCAAUGGAUCUAGAUUCGUUUGAUCGUAAUUCCCUGGGCGGCUGCUUUUUUGCGUUCCGCCAUGGCUUCCUGUUUUUGAUUGAUUAUAUUUAGAUUAAUACUAAUCUAUCAGGAUAUUGUGAUUUCGAUGAUACCCGUUUCCAAUUCGGGUCGUCGAUCUAGCGGAAUCAUAUUCUUUUGUUGAUGAUCUUCGUUAAUCUGAGUUCAAUUCAUUGUUCAAGUGCUGUUGGCGGAUUUUCAAGCGUACGAGGGACUCUGAUUGGCAUGGCUUUGAUGAAAGGAAAGCUUCUGCUAUGGACGAGUUAAUAGCUGAUGUUAAGAUUUAGAAGCUGAAGCGGAAAGGGUUCUUUGAUAUAUAGAUGGUUAAAGGUGUCAAGACUGUGGGUGGAACUACUAUUUGAGAUGGAAGUUCCUCUGUUUCUUAGACAAUCUUUUGUGUCAUUCUGUCUGACCUUUGCCAUGUCAGGUGCGCUUGCUUGGCAGGUCCUUCAUUUAAUAAAGAUACAUUUUUUUUAGGAGGGUGGGAGAGCGCACGGUAUUGACCGGGUUCCCCCCCUCCUGUGUUGUGUGUGUGUGUGUGUGUUUCUUUCUUGCUUCUCUUCCUUUUUCAUGCAUUCCAUCUUCCAUUCGCAUUAAACAUUCUUCAAAAAGGUAAGAAGAGCACUGCACUAAAAAUGCAACCAAAAUAUAGCACCAGAAUACAAAAGGGCCUCCACUUCAAAUUACCAGAUUCCAUCUUUUCCAUAGAAGAACAGAAUACAACUGCUUAGUUGCCCAUGCUUGAUGCAGGUAUCUGCUUGUUAUAUUAAUCAUUGUAUAUUAAAUUCUCCAUUUUAUUGGGUUUUAAUCAAAUGAACCACAAAUUAAAGAUUCUCAUCUUCUUAUACUAUAUAUAGAUUCUCAAAAGAAACCUAUAAUAGUGCUGUUUAUCUCUGACUUAGAACAAGAACACAUCUGUCAUUCAUUAUUGGCUAAACUCAACCAACUAUAUGCUGGUAAUGAGAUCUUAUUUUCUAUGCAAGUGUUCACACAUAAUCAUUGUACAGGGUUGCAAAGGCUGAGUUGAAAGAAAUCUACAAUUCUUUCUCUGCAAUGAGCGACUUUAGGGAGUUGAGUGACGUCCAUACGAAAACCCUUCUAACUUCAAUGAUGAUCAUCAAAUUUGUUCAAGUUGUUUUUCUUUAUAAUCAGAAGAUGGGUUUUCCAACAUUCUAAUAGAUAUUGAGAAAGAGAAAGAACUAAUUUGUAAUUUAAUUAUGGUGUUCAGCAGUUGACUUUGGAACUUCUUCUAUUGCAAAAAUUCCAGCACCGGGGCAUAUUUUGUUGCACUGGUUAUGAGAUCAAAUUUCUUCAUUUGUUGUUUAUUAUUCAUCUGCAUAAUCUUACUUAACUUCUUUUAUAAUUCUGAAUAGGUAUUCAGUCAAUUAUAUUAAUGUUUCUCUUGGUGGAGUAGUCUCCAACUCUAGUCUCUUAUCUGAAUACAAUUAUUUUAGUGGGCUUUUGAAGAGUUUUUAUUUUUGUCAAUGUUAUAUAUUAUAUUCGGAAAAUUCCAAUUACGGGAGUGGGGCUGUAGUGUUGUAAAUCUUGGACCUUUGUUGCUGGUUCACAAGCAAGCAUAUGAGGAUUUCUGUUUCUUGGUCUAGAAGAUUUCAAUUUCAUAUGCUGAAGUUAUUGAUGCUGAAUCAGACAACUUUUGAGGAUGAGAACUUCAACUUUUAAGGCACUAAGGUUGAGACAUUAGAAUCAACCUGAAGGUCCAUGGUGAUCCAACUGCACAUCAUGUUCAAUGGUAAUAACACUAGUACAAGGUUCCAUGGCGAUCCAAACUAAACAGCACUAGUAAACGAAGUAGGGCAAUCUCUUCUUGGGUGCAGGGACAAUCAGGAGAAAACCAGGGUGUAAUUAAUUUUUUGGGGGGUUUGAUGGUUUCAUUGUUGGGCAUGAGAAGGAAGAGCAGAAUGAAUUAAAUUUUAGCCUUGGAGUCUGGACUGGUUCCAAAUUUUGGUUAAUUCUCCUCCUAUCAUUAAAUAUCUUAUUCAUUGAAUUUUUAAGACUUUUGGUUCAGAUUUAUUAUUGUUAUGAUGAUGAAAUAAGUAUAAUGAAUGGUUUAUAAGAUUAUGCAAGGAUUGCAUUACAUACUGUUGUAGGUCCGUAAGCUCUAAAUGG